rnacentral:rRNA from 1 species
UGCCGCGUGGGUGAAGAAGGUUUUCGGAUUGUAAAGCCCUUUUGGCAGGGACGAUGAUGACGGUACCUGCAGAAUAAGCCCCGGCUAACUUCGUGC